rnacentral:rRNA from 1 species
GGGUAAUGACUGUCUGAGGGAUGUUAAUUGAAAAUUAUUAAGUUGGUGCAAAUGCCAACAGGAUUAAAAAAGACGAGAAGACCCUAGAAACUUAUAGUUGAUUUUGCUGGGGCGGCAGAAUUGCAUAUAACCAAUUUUAAUUUACGUGAAGCGACGCAGAAAGAAAAAGUUACUCUAGGGAUAACAGCAUAAUUUUAAUAGUUUGUGACCUCGAUGUUGGACUAGGGAUGUUACCUUCUAGAAGAAGGUAAUUAUGGCUCUGUUCGAGCCCUUAGCCCCUACGUGAUCUGAGUUCAAACCGGACG